UCCGGUAUGGUGUAGUGGCUAACAUUUCGCGCUCUCAAGACCUGAGGGAUUAGUUCCGCGGAGCCCAGGGUUCGAUUCCCUGUACCGGAG
rfam:Fusarium verticillioides 7600 chromosome 8, whole genome shotgun sequence.